UACAGAGGUCUCAAGCGUUGUUCGGAUUCAUUGGGCGUAAAGGGCGCGUAGGCGGCCACCGCAAGUCGGUUGUGAAAUCUCCGGGCUUAACCCGGAAAGGUCAAUCGAUACUGCGGGGCUAGAGUGCAGAAGGGGCAACUGGAAUUCUUGGUGUAGCGGUGAAAUGCGUAGAUAUCAAGAGGAACACCUGCGGCGAAGGCGGGUUGCUGGGCUGACACUGACGCUGAAGCGCGAAAGCUAGGGGAGCGAACGGG
rnacentral:rRNA from 1 species